CCCAAAUACGCGACACCUGGAGCAGUCGCGGCCGCCCCGCGGCCUGGGCCUCAUUACGGGGCCGGCCCUUAUCGCGGCGUGCAUCACAUUAUUUCAUUUCAAAGAAUCCGCAGAGAAGCCCGGCCCGGCCGACAACAGAAAGUAAAAACACAGCUGACUCCCAUUAGGGCCCUCUCACAGGCUCCGCGUGAGAAACUCCUUAAGGUCAGCAUUAGCAUUUUUCAGAUGAGAAAACUGCACCCCAGAGACGUGAACCCAUUUGUUGAGAAGGUCAACAGCUAGGAAGUGGCACCAGGCAACCUGGACUCCACAGGGAGACGGCGGAGAUGCGGGCACCUUACAGGGUGUGAUUAAUGGCGCUAAUAUUUCUACAAAAGCCUAGGCGCUGCUGUUGCACACUCACUUCUUUCACCACUAUUGUAAGGUUUCGUUGCCUCAUUUUACAGCUGAGGAACCUGAACCCAGAGGCAAAGGCUCUUGUCCACGUCUACUCAGCAGGUGUACCCCGACAACUGACCCCGCAGAGGUAAGGGAAUAUAAGCGGAUGCGGAGGAAACGCAAGUAAAAUACUCAUGGUCCCUGCCCUGGAAGCGCUCACGGUCUGGCAGGAAAAGGGCACCUGAACCAAUAAUAAGAGUGUAGAGCCGCGAUGGACGUGCCUGGUACCCACAGAGAAU